rnacentral:lncRNA from 1 species
CUGGGCAAAAAAAUCAGUUUACUGGUUGCCAUGGCAAUGCGGAAAUCAGCACUAUGGCCCUUGAUGCAAAUGAGACUCGGCUUUUGACUGGCAGCACAGAUGGGACUAUAAAGGGAGUUAUGAUGGAUAAAUUGUUCUAUGGAACAAUAGCACAGAAAAGGCUCAUCAUGUUCUUCACCCCAAUUAUCAGAGAUUGCUAACAUCAAAAUUAGAUACAAAACCUCGAGAACUUCUCACUCCUGGGAGAAGCCACUCCACCCACCCCAUGGCAGACCACUCUGCCAUGGGAGUCCAAGACUUUGAGAUUGACACUGAGGGCAAAAAUGCUGUUACGCGGCUUUGCUUCCUUAAAGCAAGAAAAAACACUGCAGUGACAGGUCAGACAAUGGCAAGGAAGCUGCAGUUGAAGAGGAUGGGUCCGAGAGCAGGAGCCAGACUACAGCUCGCUACUAAUUUAUCCAGUGUUGUAUACGUCAAGAUCAGGG